GUCCGAUUAGCUAGUUGGUGGGGUAACGGCCCACCAAGGCUCCGAUCGGUAGCUGUUCUGAGAGGAAGAUCAGCCACACUGGAGACUGAGACCCGGCCCAGACUCCUACGGGAGGCAGCAGUUGGGAAUCUUGGACAAUGGGGGAAACCCUGAUCCAGCCAUGCCGCGUGAGUGAUGAAGGCCUUCGGGUUGUAAAACUCUUUCGCGCACGACGAUAAUGACGGUAGUGCGAGAAGAAGCUAUCGGCUAACUUCGUGCCAGCAGCCGCGGUAAUACGAAGGGGGCUAGCGUUGUUCGGAAUUACUGGGCGUAAAGCGCGCGCAGGCGGCUAUCCAAGUCAGUGGUGAAAGCCUGGAGCUCAACUCCGGAACUGCCAUUGAAACUGAUUAGCUUGAGUAUGAGAGAGGUGAGUGGAAUUCCCAGUGUAGAGGUGAAAUUCGUAGAUAUUGGGAAGAACACCGGUGGCGAAGGCGGCUCACUGGCUCAUUACUGACGCUCAGGCGCGACAGCGUGGGGAUCA
rnacentral:rRNA from 1 species